UACAGAGGGGGCAAGCGUUGUUCGGAAUUACUGGGCGUAAAGGGCGCGUAGGUGGCCUUCUAAGUCGAACGUGAAAUCCCUGGGCUCAACCCAGGAACUGCGUCCGAUACUGGAAGGCUUGAAUCCGGGAGAGGGAUGCGGAAUUCCAGGUGUAGCGGUGAAAUGCGCAGAUAUCAGGAGGAACACCGGUGGCGAAGGCGGUUCUCUGGGCAUUACCUGACGCUGAGGAGCGAAAGUGUGGGGAGCGAACAGG
rnacentral:rRNA from 1 species